rnacentral:rRNA from 1 species
UACGAAGGGAGCUAGCGUUGUUCGGAAUCACUGGGCGUAAAGCGCACGUAGGCGGCUUCUUAAGUCAGGGGUGAAAUCCUGGAGCUCAACUCCAGAACUGCCUUUGAUACUGAGGAGCUCGAGUCCGGGAGAGGUGAGUGGAACUCCGAGUGUAGAGGUGAAAAUUCGUAGAUAUUCGGAAGAACACCAGUGGCGAAGGCGGCUCACUGGCCCGGUACUGACGCUGAGGUGCGAAAGCGUGGGGAGCAAACAGGG